UAGUAGAUAAUCUGUUGUUAUCACUCCGCCCGGUGACGCAACGCGCGCCGGGCCGAUUAUGUACUUCCUACCGCCCGGUCAGACAAGGCGCUUUCGCGCCGUUAUCCGGGCGAUAAAACGGCGAGUCGCCAACGUUAUUCACUCUCAGCCGGUAAUACUGGCGUCCAGUCGAUAGUUUUCUCGCCGUGUUGUUCCAGCCAUUGGUUCGUUAGCGCAAAAUGGUUACAGCCAAAAAAUCCGCGGUGCGCAGAGAGUGGCGAGGGAUGCGGAGCUUUCAGAAUAUGGUGGCGCUGUGGAUCAAUAAUCGCGCCUUUCUUCUGGGCGUGCGAGCCCCACAGCAGGAAGACGACCCCUUCGCGGUGUUGGUUAAUCAGGCUUAUCACUUUAUCCGUAAAGGUUUCCCACCCCAGGCUGGCAUGAGAAUGCGCCUGGCCUGCCCGUACCGUGAGCACCGUAUUCAGUAACAGUACGCCCUGGCGUGCCCAGCUUUCCAGAUAACCGUGCGCGGGGCGAACAAAGCCGGGAAUGGAAGCUUCCAGC
rnacentral:rRNA from 1 species